UUGCAUUUCUUUGUCGGGUAUUGCUUUUUGAAAAUGUUCAAGAAAUCCUGUGAUCUCAGUUUAAGGAAUAAAAGGACUACUUACGUGUGUGAAACUCCUCCAAACAUCAGUGGUGUAAUAUUUCAAUUUUAAGAAAAACAUCCCUGCUCUGUCCUGUCUUUCUGCCUGAGUAGCACCGAGACCUUGCUUUGGACUUGCUGAACCUUGAAUUGCCACCUCUCUGAUGCUUGCAGUUUCCCCCAGUGGCAUAGUGCCAGAUUUCCCCAGAUGAACAUGCACCUUGGCAAUAAACCUGCCUUGUUCAGGAAACCUGGGAAACCUGCUUGGAAGUGACACUCUCUGAAUGGAGCUGUGUCUCAUGAACCUGAAGUCUGAGCUGCCUAACAGAGAACAGGAUGACCGCGCACAGUGCUCAGGGAGAAGAAGUGGAAGUGCAUGGAGAAUCCAGGGAAGGGCUUCAGAGGGGUCUUUUGCUCAUCCUGACUGAAAUAAAAGAAAAAUGAUGCUGUGUGAGUAAAUAAGCCAAGUGUGGCCUGUGUUUGCAGCCACCCCUUCAUUUAAUGAGCAAGCUCAGGAAACAGAACAUCCUGAGGGUAGGCAGGAGGCAGUGCAGGGGACAGUGUGAGAUGGGAGGGAGGAAGGAUGACCUGAUUUUUGUUCCAAACUACAUCUCUUUUACUAGCUGUACUUACAUUGAUAGAAUAGCAACUGUUGGGCUGAGAUUUUUAUUGUUGUUUUCUGAGUUACCUGAAUUUCCAAGAGGUGUUGUGUUCUAUCUUUUUUUUCCUUCUUAAGACGACCUUCUUCCGCGAGCUUAUUUUAGACCUAGUUGAAUGUCCCAGAGAAAAUUCCAAAUGGUCCUUAAUACACGAACUGUUUCCAGAAAGGAGAAAUUCUCAGUGGACUAUGAAACUAUUUUUCAAUCAUGGUGUAUGGCUCACAAACCACAGCUGAGUUGUAUUUUUUCUUUUUCUUUUUCAGUAGGAAACUAUUGCCCAGUGAGUUAAAAGAAAAUAAAGGAUAAUGGAAUUUUUCCGUAAGGCUGGAGCCGUUCACAGGGGUUUCCUCCCCACUAGAUGUCACUGGAACUGUUUGAAAUGUUUGGAACAAACAGCCCCAAACUGCCCAGGUUCAGAGGUUUGUUAUAAACAUGAGACUUGGAGCAGGUUUCUUUAGAGCUGUGCUCUGGUUCGUGUGCUUUUCUCAGGCAUUGGACUGGGAGAUAGGCAGCCACAGGAAGUUCAGGAUUUGGGGACAAGGUAGGUGAAACUCAUGAAGUUUGGCAUUAUUCCUUGGGCAAGCCAAGUGGACUCAAAGUCAAUGCUUGGGGCUGCCACCAUCAUCUGGCUGGGAGGUGUUCAGAGGAAGAGUAGGGUCAUGCAGGAUGCAGGUGGGAGCAGCCACCUUUUCUUACAGAAGCCCAUGGCUGGGGCUUGGAUUCUCAUAUAAUAUUCUGUAAAACCAGUGAAAUUCUGACAGCUCACGCAGUUAAAUUCUCCAUGUCUCUCCUCCUCAGGAGUACAGAUCUUAACUCCCGAGGAAAGCAGCUCCUCAGAUUAUUAGGUCUACUAUUUUAAUUCUCCCUGUAGUUUCAAUCGACUACAGGAAUCUUCUUCCAUUCUUAUUCAAAAUUCAGUUUAGUGUGAUUAUGUGGCCAUGCAUCAAAUAUGGCAGUAUAAUAUGUCCUUUCAUCUACUUGCCAUAAUACAUCCCUUUUAGUGCCACAUAAAUCCCUGAAAAUAUUACUGUCUUCUGCUCUUGAGAUUCUUCAUGUGCCUCUUUGCCUUACUGCCUUCCUCUUCUAUUGUUUCUCCAAGCUGAAUUAAUUCCUUUUUUCCCCCCAACCUGGCUGCUAUGCUGUAGCCCUGCUUCCGAGCAGCUGCCAUGAAACAGCAAUGCUUCCAGAGGAGGAGAGAAGCCAGAAAGAGCUGUCCGAGCAGCUUUGACACAGCAGCUUUGACUACUUUCAUUAAUUGGUGCCCCAACAUCACCAAUUCAGCACAUCCCACCUGUAGGCACAGUUGGCUCACACAACGAAUGCACAUCAAAAUAGGGUAUAUUCCCUUACACAACUCGAGUAUUAAGUUGGUAUUAUAUUAAGCCAGCAAAAUUUCAACCCUCUCAAUAAAUUCAAGAAAACGAAUUUCCUCCAGCCCCACAUCCCACCAUCCAGUGGCCCAGAGCACCCAUUUGUACCCUUCCCUCUUGCAGGCCAUUUUGGGGUCUCAUUCCUUCUGCCAAAUGUCCCAGUGAGUGAAGGAGCUUCCCUGCCCCACCACUUCACUUUACAAAAUAGAGAAGUCUCUACAUUAAAAAAGUCCUGACAGAGUACAUUCAGCACAGGACAAUGCAGAGGAAGGUUACAAGUAUAUUAGGAUAAGGGCACCACAAUUAUAUGAAGAAGUCUGGAGAGAAAAGAUUACAUUGUUCUGACAACAACAUUUUUCAAACAUUUAGACCUUUAAUAUCAUUAAUUUAAAGUACAAGAUUAAAUAUUUUAUGCAAAUAUUAGACAACAGCAAAGAGCUCCACAUAUUAGGAUUUAAAACAGAUUGAAUGCAUGCAAGACAUAUUCAUUUCUUAAGCAGUUUAGUUAAAAAAUCGGUAUUGUCUCUAUUAGGAUUAACUGACAGUAACUCUUUGUGUUCAAAUGGAUUUAACUUCACUCUGGUUUGUUUUCCAGAUAUCAUUGUCCUCCAAUAAUUGUGGAUAAAGGGAAAUGUAAGAGGACAGAUCAAGUAAAAAUAUAUCUUCACAUCAUAAACACAGAAUUAUGUUUAAAUUUCAUUACUAAAUGGGAUUUCGGCUUCAUAUACCAUGCCUAAUCCUACACCAUAAAAGAUGUAUAAAACCUCUUGACAAAUUCUAACAGACUUUGUGGAAGUUGCAUAUAUUGAUUAAAACAUCAAGCAGUUACAUACAAACCAAUAAUGAAUUACUUCUUGUUGGAAGAUAAAACUUUGUGAUAUUUAAAAUUACAGACUUGAAAGUAAGUAAAAUUACCCCUAAUUAUGCAGAAGGGAGCAACACCUUAGCAGUAAACAAGAUAAGCACCUCAAACAGCACUAAUAAUUUUAAUUAACAUUUUCUAGUUUCCUUUCACCUCCUUUCAAGGUCAUCUGCUACCUUCUCCUGGUACAACAUUACAGCGCGGUGUAAAAACUUACAUUCCAUUGUUAACUGCUUUGAGUAGCCAAAAAAUAUAACUUUCUGGGAGGGAUUCUUUUAUUUUCUUUAAAAAAUAAGAAAAAAAAAAUUAAAAACUCUUAAUUGUGUGCAAAAGUAAAUAAUGCACUGUGCAAAGCUGCCAGGAAGGUCUCUGCAGUGAGCUGCUGUCAGAAGUCAGACCCCAGCAGCCGGGAUUGGGCCGAGUAUUGGGGCCUGACUGAGCACCAGAGGCAGAAUUCUCCAGGGAGCUCUGCCUGCGAGCAGAAACCCAUUCAUGUUUCACGUGUGAAUUUAAAAAGGUGGGCUAUGUUCAGAGUGGGGGAGGUAUUUGGAUUAUGGAGUUCAAAAGAAAUUGAACAGUGAGCACCGAAAAUGAAUAUUUGGCAUAACAUGAUAGUCCGUGCAGUUCUUGAGUUACUUCUACUUGCAAAGUAAUUAGUAAAUGAGUGCUCUGAAGAUGACUUUGUUAAACUACUUCUUUCCUUCCUAAAAAAUCCAAAAGUUGGUAAGAAAUGGGCUUUGUUAUAUCAGUGGGUUUGUUCCAUGCCACAAAUUUAAUGUAUGAGGUCACUCGGAAUAUAAUGUGUAGUGAAAGAAUCUCAUUAGGCUAAAAUGAAUGUAAAAUGUGUCAAUUUGAUCCAAAUGAGAACUGUAGUAAAACCAUGUUUGAUGUUCAUGUGCAAUAAAUCUUUAACAUUUGUCUGUAAAGUAUUAGAGAACCCAUAGGGAAAUCUCUAUUUGUGAUAGCUGCACAUUUUCAAUGAUUUUUCCUAUAAUCCUUUGUUGACAUUUAGCAUGUGGCAACGGAAAGGAAGGUCCUAAAAUGAGAAUUAUUAAUUAUUAUUAUUCCAAGGUAAACAAGGUGGACACCUUGCCUGUGGCUGCCAGGGUUUGAGGAAAGGCAGCAAUUCUGAAUCCACUCUGUUGACUGAAAGUGGCCAUUUCUGGGGGAAGAAGUCAGAAACCACCACUGCCCUACCUGGGGUGAUGGGCUCCGGUGACAACAUCCCCCUGGCUGGGUAUAUUUUGAUGUAUUCAUAUUGUUAAUUACUGUUGUAUUUCAAUUUUCUCUCCGUAUUUUUUGUUCGUUCAUAAUGGCUUUAUGGUUCAGCGGACCGAAAUGACUAAAAUGAAAGAUUUCUGAGAUUUCUUCUGGGAGUAAUUUACAAAAGACCACAAUUUUUUAAUUGCUCCUGAUGUUUAGUUCUGGAUAUCUGGAAGGAGAGAAAUCAGCCCAAGUCUUUUAGUUGCCACCCCAACCGUAUCAGAGACAGCGAUUUGAUCUCUGUCGAUGGCUUUGCUUCCUGUGGCCCACCACCCGUAUUUUGAGAACUGGCUUAUAGCAAUGCCACGGUGUUUAGAUUUCUGCAGCUCACACUUGCUUUCGCAAGAGAAUCACAAACUAUUCACAUCCUUUGAGGAGGCUCAGGAAAUAAUGGGUGAAAUGUCAGAAACAAUUAAGAAAAAUGGAGGCAUUUCAUUUAACCAGUAGAAGAAAUACAUAACUUUUGCUGAAUGGCUGAACUCGAAGUGCCACAAGAUUGCUACAAUAUGAGCUCUGGCUCCUGAUUAUCAUGAAGUUGUAUUAAAAAAAACAACCUUACAACACUCACAUGCCAAAGGUUGCAACACAGUCUUUGGCAGGAAACACGAAAAUGCUCCAGCAUGGGAAAAGUCUUCAAGCAAACUUGCAUCUGUGCUGAUUUACGUUUUUACAGCGAGCAACGGCAGCUUUCUGAAGGCAGCGAGCAGUUUUAGAGCAUGGUGACACAGCCGUGCCCCACAAACACUUAUCCCCCAGCCAUACCAGCCCCUGCUUGUUUGCCCAUCUCAUUGCUGCCAUGCAGGGCCGUUAUCAAUAAAUGCGGUGUUCUUGGCCGAGUUUUCUUUGGCUUGCAGUCUGCUUUACAAAACCACUGCAUACUUGACAGUUUGCCCUAGUUCAAAAUUCUUUGGUCAGAAAAAGCCCGGAGAAUGAAACAGUAUCUGGUGUUGUAAAAUCUUGACCAGAUUCUGAAAUACUGCCUAAGCCCCUGUCAGCUCGAAGGUGAUUUCUCCAGGUCAUGGUUUGGGGGAAUUGAUGGCACAGUGUGCAGCCCAUGACUUCUCCGUCUGCACUACAUCUUUGUCAGGAGGGUGCAGGCUCACCUUUAGCACUCGUUGCUACCCCAGCCCCGAAGGUCUUGACAGUACAUUUACUUUCCUACACAGCUUACAAGCUAAGCAUAGGAAAAUGAACCAAGAAACAGCUUGUCUACCUGCUGCGUUUUCAUUUCUCUAUUUUUGUCUGAGGGUUUAUCAAUUACCCAAGAAACCAGAAGUGCCACCUGAAGCUGAAGAAGAGAUGAUAACACCUGGUGCUUGCAUUGAACUGCUCUCUUCAACACUCCCAGUACUUUUCUGACGGUGCAAGUCCAUUUUCCAUCUUCUACAAUUGGAGACACUGAGGCAGAGGCAAAAGAAAUCAUAUACAAGAGGUCAGAAAUCCAAAGCAGGGAGGAGAGCCCUGGGCCAGACCAACUCGAAGACGCUGCAUCAGCACGGCAGGUCAAGUGAACACUGAACCUGCAGCAAGCACAGAGCUUGCUGCAUCCUUGGACUCCCUCCUUUCCAGAAAAUUAAGUGAGGACACUCAGAAAGUAGAGAAAGAAAAGGAGACGUCGACUGUACCCCCAUCCUACACAUCAUAGUGAUUUAUACUAAAAUUAAUGGCACUCAGCUGCUCGCCAACUCCGUUCCCACAGCAGCAGGAAUGUCGCACACUGUCUGAUUACAACUGCAAGUCUUAAAUUUGCAUCUAUCAUAAAGGUAUGACUUAUGGAAAAGUUCAGUGACUGAAAUGUAUUCUUCAUGGGCCAUCUUCACCAGCAAAAUAGAGCAGCUGCCUGAACGAGAAAACCUGCACUCCUGAAAGCAGCACAUCUUUUGCAGUAAGAGAAUGCUGAAUAGCUGCAAGCAAACACCAGACACCGGGCAGUCCCUCCUGCAGCACCUGAGACUAUUUGACACUACUGCAAAGGAGGUGACGUGGUCUGAUUGACGGCCGUGUUCAUUUUUGCAAGAAAAAGAGGAAAAAGCCACUGAAGGCAACCUCCAUCAGCUGAACGAGCUAUCAGCUGACACAUCAUCCAUCCUACAGCAGCUCAAGGCAAUACCCACAAUAGUUCAGCGUUGCAAGCAGCCUGUCAGCAAGCAGAAUUCUUGCUGUGCUUUACAGCAUGGAUACGAACUCACCUAGCAUGCCUCAGCAUGCAUUCAUGCUGGCAGUGUAGAUCCUUCCACCAUAAAAGUCAACUGUGCCACCGGAGCAGCCCUGACUUCAACCAGUCUAUAUGAAGGGGGAAAAGUCAUGCGUGUGGUUUACGGCUUUGUUUUCUCAACCUUUUGCAGUGGUGUGGUUGUUCUGUGUCUAACCACAGUCCCCUGAUCUAAGAUGAGCUGUAUGACGAAGUCUAACUUAAGAUUUUUUCCUCUUGGCCUCUCACUUCCUUUCGGGUUGAUCAGUGAACCCAGUGUGUGUCCCCUUGCUAGUGUGAGCCAACACCAAAUGAAGUCCAUGGAAAGAUUCCCUUUGUGUCCAUGGGUUCUCUGUUAGACUCAUCCUAAUUUACAACAAAUAUAAUAACAUUUAGCUUUAGUGGUUAGCUUACAACAUCUAUGGCGAUCUCACAGCAUUUGAAGGACAAGGCCAGCAAAUCCAAGAAUUUCACUCUAGGCGACCCUACUUGUGUGGAGCUAGAAAACGUAUCAUAGGAAAAAGUUUCACAACUAAAGAGAAGCCUACAUAGUUUGGUUUGUUGAUUGUCUCACAAAAGAAAACAAAAUAACUCCUUAGCAAACCUCAUUAGAAGCCCAUGUUUUUUCCUAUGGGAAAAUAAGAUUGUUCCGUGAAACUGUGGGGAAAAAUUGAGCUGACAGCCCAAGAUUAAAUUCGCUUUUCUAAUUCUGAAAUGGAGACAAGUUUAACUAUUCUGGCUUGGCUCAGAUGGUUUGGGCUGUGGGCUAAGUCCAUGGCAGACGUGAAUGUGACUCCGCGUCUGGCCUGCAAGGGUGACCACAGGGUCCCUCUUUCCCAGGCUUGGGCAAAAUGAACAUUGCUCCAAGCAGUGACCAGCCCCAAAAGCAGCUUUUUGUCAUCACAAACUGUGAAGUGGCUGAUAAACCCACAUGGAAGAGCGCUCAGCCAAACCUUUAUCAGGUAAAUGACUAUGGGAGGCAGAUGACUUCUCACCCCAUUUUUUAAUAUAUUUUUUUUGAAGAACACUGAAAUGUGCACUCAUCAGUGAUGACUUUUAAAGGAAAUAAUAACAAUACCUUUCUGACCUCAUGUUUUCUAUUGGAGGAGGAAAACCCCCCUGAAAAUUCUUGCUGAAGAGGCCACAGCUCCAGGACCUGGAGCCUGAGGGACAUCCUGGGGGCUCCUGGUGGAGGCAUCUCCCAUCAGAAGGGCCAUGGAGAUGGCAUGGGCAGGGUGAAGCAUAUCCUUGCCCAACCACAUAAGUUAUCUCAUGGCAAACAGUCUCAGCCCUUUCCCUCCCCUCUAGCUAGCACUGGCCUGCACAGUGGGCAUUUGCAUACUUUUAAGCUAUUUUUAAUUAGAUCUUGAAAAUUCUUCAAUUUAGUCAUACCUUUCCACCCUUGGCUCUCACUGACUAUAGCCACUUGUGACAGUCUUAGCCACUUACUUUCAUUCUUAGCAUAGACAUGAAAUCAGAUUUCUGUGUUCUUUGGAUGAGUUAUUAGGCUUACAAUUAGCAAAGCGAACAACGUCAGACUGUGUAAAAGUUACAAGUGUGAAAUCGAGUUCUGCCAGUAAAUUGCUACCUUUUCUUUAGCAUUGCAAGCCACGCUCUCCAGUUUAUUUGAACACAUAAAAUAUGCUAAAUGUUUAGCAGCACCACUGUGUAAAGAAGAGUUGGAUGAAGUAUAUAUUUUUAAAUACAGUGAGUAAUAAAAUGUUGAGUAAAUUCCCAAGAAUAUAAUUUUGGGGCAAGUACAAUAGAAUGCUUAAUGGCAUAUAUUCCCAGGUCUGCUGUUUUUAUUCCUCCUUUUCUCCUGCUUUAAUCUCCUCACCCAGCCAGUGGUUGUUGUUAUGGGAGCUGCUAGAAAGAGCUUCAUCCAUAGACACUUCCAGCACUGAGAGAAUGAGACGAGGAGCACCAGGCAUUUGCAGUCAGUACUUUGCUUUGCAGCAGUGCACUGGGCACUGCCCUGCACACAUCCCUGCCUGUGUGAGACGACAGUGAACUGCUUGGCACACACUUGCGUAGUGGCUCGUAAGGACCACAGGAAACAAGGAAAAAGAGCGAAUGGGAGGAGGGAUAAAGACAAACAAGCCUCCUUCACAAAUUCAUUUUCUCCAAAUUUAUUUCCUUUUCAUUUAACUCGGUUGAGAAAUGUCCCCCUGGACUUCAUCAGAAAAUCAAUCUCCCCAUUUAAAGUUUUAAACGCAGUUCUAAGCAGCUCGGCUUGAUAUGCAAAGAGGCAUGAGAAAUCCAAACCCUCAUCAAACAGUCUGCACGUUGUUCGGAGCUGCCACUGCAGGUGGAGCCAGCAUUGCUUCUCUCCAUAUCAAACUCUGUGGGCUGAAUAGAGAUGAUGCUGCCCAGUACCUGUGACAACUCCUGUAUCUGGGCUUCCAUAUGCAUAAACUCUCCACAUUUCGGAUGUUCCCCUUCACAGAACAGCUUAAUAUUUCAAAAGACCUUUUAAAUUUCUUAGCACAAAUCACUUUUUACCCUUUGCCUCGCAGUUAUGCGCCAGGUAGCGCAGUGAGCCCAUAUACCCACUGUUUAGCUGGUUUUAUACUGCUGGUUUGCCGAUAACUGUCUGUACUUUGUUUCAAUAUCCAAAACUGUCUGCUGUAUGGUAGCUCUGAGAUCAUGUUCCCAAUUGCUCUCAGUUCCUGCUGCCUUUCUGGGCCAUCUAUCCCAGAAAUGGGAAUCUUUAUUCCAUAGGAUCAUAAGAGGGUAAAUAUACAAAUUCUAGGAGAUACAUUCAAAAGAAAACCAAACAGAUUCUGAUGUUACAGUUCUCACAUUUAGCCUGUAUUUUCUACAGUGUUACUUUUUAGUUGUUUUAAAAGUUGUACUAACUGUAAUCUAGGGAGACAUUACCUUCACUUUGAAGCAUCAACCAAAUACCAUUAUAUAAAUGCUGCAGAUUAGUUAUCUUUAAUUGUAUAUAUAUAUACAAAAAAUAAUAACAACUGGAUAGUAACGAGCAAUAUAUUCUCUACUCUGUCUCUGAGUUAUCAGUUGAUAGAAGACAGUGUUACCAGUACAAUAGAUGUUCAAACUGCAAAUAUUUGGCACCAGGCAAAAAGUCUCUGGAGGGGUGGAACAACAUUCACUGCAAUUUGCUGGAUCAGCCCACCUUUUAGUAUGUCUGGGAGCUGAAUUUUACCCACAUGCACAUGUGGAUCACCCAGUAAUUCCCAUAGGCUGGAAGGCUGCCCUUCUAGAGAGAGAAAUCUCAGCAUCUCUAAUGAGAGGCCAAUUCCCAUGUCCUGCGGCAUCUCCAAAUGAUACUUGGCAGAGAUCUGCCUUUAUGGGAGUUGUACUGAUGGAGUUUUCUCUCCAAGCAGAGCAGCACUGACAAUAUGCAGGGGAUGAAUUUCUCUUCUAAUACAUUUUCCUUUCAGGAGCGAAGACAGUUUUGGCCAGCCAACCAACUACUUUGUCUGCGAGUGAAAAACCUGAAAGUUGUACUUUCUUUCCGUCUUCUGCAACCACCUUCUACAUGACUGCCAAUAUCAUGACUGCCAAUAUCAGUGGAAGCUAACAAUGCACCAUUUAAAGCAUAGAGAGGGGGAAUAAAAUCAGUCUUUUACCAUUUAUUUAUUUAUUUGUUUAAGGAAAAAAGAAGUCGCCACAUCAUAAAGGAAUGAUAGAACUGCCCAUAGUAACAAUGGUAUGAAGUGCUAAUUAUUUCAGGCAGUCCCUUCAGCAAACAGUGACAGCCCCAGGGUGGGUCCCCUGGUUGGAACUCACACUCCUUCCAGCAACAGAUUUCCUUAGUGAGCAUCAGAUCAGGUCCUUAAGGACCUCCCAAGCCACUGUCCUGCAUAUAAACACACAAUAGCACUGCUGGAAGAACACAAGAAAUAGAUAAAUAAAUCAGAACUCAGAAUAUAUGCAGAUUUACAGGCAUUAGAGGGAUUCAUUCUGUGUGUGAAUAAGGCCAAAGUGCAGCUGUAAAUAUGAGUAAGUUAUUUGGUUUUUUGCAAUCACAUUGACUUUAGAUCUUAGCUCAUCUAAUGGCAAUUCCUAACACCAACAAUGAACAGCAACAAAAAAUAAUCUAAAGAAUCAUGGCUACUCAAAUAGAACAAUGCAGAGUAAUCACUUUUUUAAUACAAAUUAAAAAGCCCUCUGUGUUAACAGUCUGCGUUGUUCAAUUUGCACAGAGAAAUGCUUAUCCUUCUAUAUUUAUUCAACAGGAUCCACAAAAAUUGAAGAUAAUUUGGGAAGACUCUCCUUAUAGUAACUAAAACCACUGAAUUUAAAUUCCAAAUCUUGUGAGACCAUUUCCUGAGUUUCCAAUGAAAAAGCUUUCUAUACACAAAGAGAAAUAAAAUCAUUAAAAUGUUAAUACAACCUAUACAAUCAAACAGGAGACCUCUCGGAGACUGGGUCAAAACCCAGCCAUAUAAAAGAGCCUUUCUUACAACAAACUCCCAGAGAUUUUCAUAAUUUUCCUUUUCAAAUGUCAGUAUAAUCUUUUGGUUUGGUUGAGUUAAAUCUAGAGCAAUUCUACAUAAUGAAAGGAAAGAAUGAACAUAAACAUGUUUCAAUAUGACUUCAGGAUUCCCGAUUUCUGUUUCCUUAAUAAGAAUAUUUUUUUUCCUCAUGGCAUGGGUUUGCAUUCUUAAAGACCAUGCUAUGAAACAAUGAGAAUCUGAGGAGAGCAGGGGAAUGAGAGUGGCUAUUCUAGAAAUUUCACUUAAUUAAAGAGACACAUAAAGAGGAACCCAUCUAUUUAAUGCUAUGAGCCAAAUACCCAAAUAGAUUACCCAGGUCAAAAGGUAAGAAAGAAAAAUAGAGUUACUGCCAUAUGUGAAGAGCAGAGAGCCUCCUUUCACAUCACUGCUUUCUUAAUGGGCACCAGUAUUUUCCAAUAGAGCAUGCUACCUAAGGAACUGGAAUCUCUGCGUUCACCAAACAGAGCACAUUUAAUGCACACUUAUAUGACAUACAGUGAAUCAAAUGAUGGAUCUAUGAGAAAUACAUAUAGGCAGCUUCGAACAACUAUGGUUUCCCAUGUCAAAAAGCCUAAUUAAACAGAUAUGCUUGAACUGUGAAUGAGUUCCCCACAACUGGGACUCCCAUGUCCCCAUGGGGUUUCAUGGCUGUGGGAAGGACCUCCAACCUACACUGCACCCUACAGGGUGGGAGUGCAGCACCUGCAGUGUGCGGCCAUGAAGAGCAGGGCAAUUAGCCCAGCAAGGACUGCAAAUAGCUACAAGUGGGCACUGGGAGCUUAAAGCUGGCCCAGCCCUAUGCCUGGCCUCCUGCUUCCUCUGGAGCCAUUGAGCUGAUGCUCAAAUGCAUUUGCCCUUCCUUUUCAUGGCUGGUAACCCUGGUAGGUUACAUGGCUCUGUGGCAUGUUUCCUCUGAAACAACUCAGGCUCUCUUCUUACACACUGUUUGGUUUGGAUUUGGCCCAUUCUCCAAUUCUCAGAUAAAAUGAGAACAUAAUUCACAUAUUAGCAUUUCAAAACCUGUACAGCUGCAGAAUGAGUAAACAGAGGAGUGAGUAAUCAUUACUAAUCUGAACCGGAGAAAGAGAGAAAAAAAAAGCAUAUCAUUUUGUGGUGUGCUAAACCCCCCAAAAAUAUGUUUGCACUUCUUAAAACAUCUCAAAUUUUCUCUCUUUUUUUUUAAUCCGUGAUUUGGAGAUGACAGAGAAAAAUCUUUGAGCUGAACUGAUCUCAAAUACAUUAAUAUCCUUUUUGGUAUAAAUUUGUUUGGGGAAACUUGAAACUGUAGAAUAACCUAUUGAUUACAUUAUUUGAAUUAAGUUUUAGAAAUCCUACAGCUGUUUGCUGUCAAAAUUUAAACCUACUGUCUAUUUUCAGCUGUGCACUUAAUACACGUUUCACCUGGUGACUCAAUAACAUUUUAAUAUAAAAGUACAUGAUUGCGGAACAUAUGUUCAGUGUUCAUACGAAGCUUAAUAGCAGCAGAAGGGGUAACAAUUAACAGUUCUGUUUUUCUGGGUAUGUGGAGCCCAAUUGUAAAGUUUUUCCUGGGCUCCUUCCAACAAAUCUUUGUUCCUGGUGCUUUGACCUUUGAGGAGUUUGGAAUCAAUGAGGCACGUUGCCUUCCAUAAGGGUGUCAAGUGCAGAAUAAAAAACUGCAUCACAUCAUUUUUCACCACGGCCAGAUGAGGUCUGAGUGCAGGAGCAAGGAACAGGAAAGCAAGAACAUCUGAAAAAUUGACUCUGCAAGCUGGAAUGCGAUUCUGCAAUAAGGGGCAACUCUCCUUUAUAUUUUUCCCUCUUGCUCUCUUUUUUUCCUGCCAGAGCAAGCAGGUUGUAGACAGAUCUGGGUCUCAGCCUCCCACCCCCGGGGCCCCCACGUCAAGGAACAGUGAUAGAGCGCCGUUCAUUUAUGCAACAUCUGUAACACAUAGAGCAACGUAUUAAUAGCUCAAUAUGCCAAUCUGCCACUGUGCAUUUUGACCUAGCAGGGACCAGAAGCAUGGAAGGUCUGUAAGGCAGAUGUGGGAAUGGCAGUGGCGAUGGAAAUUAAAGGCAGACACAAAGAGUUGGUGCACAGAGCACUGCGGAGCAGUAGUUCUUCUGGAAGAGGCAAAUGCUUCCAGCUCAGUUAGGAGGUUAAUAGAGCUAAUCUUCUGUAUCACUAUUAUUUAUAACAUGUUGUUGGACUUAAUGUUUAUGAAGCUCAAGCUGUAUAGUGCACAUCCAAUUAUGUUUUCUUACAGCCAUGGAGGGUUUUAUGAAAAGGAAUAUUGAGUGAAUGCUUUAUUGCUUAAAAAUAUUGUAUUGGUUAGAAGGGAAGUUAAUCCAGUAGGAAGUAAAAACAGCAACAAAGGCUACAGCAAAUAUGAGAUGCUUUAAAUUCAUUGCAUGACAUUCUCACCCUAAUUAUUAGCCAACACUGGGAAUAAAAACAGCACCCUCAUCUUCAAGUUAUUAUUUUUUUUCCUUUCCUCAUUUUUAUUGCACAUUUACAUAAGACUUGUAUGCCUUGUACUUCUUCCAGCUUAUAACGUUUCUAUUAACCCUUUGCUUUUUUUUUUUUUCCUCACUAUAGCUGCUCAAGAAGACUAAUUGGCACCGGAGAAGGCAGGUGGCAAUGGAGUGGGCUGGGGGAAGUGGCCAGGUCGUGAUGGGCGCAGAGGUGGCUGAGCUUGAAUGAGAGCCCAGUGGUUCAGAAGGUUAUCCAGCCCCAGUCUCAGAGUCUCUGUGGUCUGGAAAGCUGGAAUAGAAAAAUCUUCCAGGAAUAACUUCAUUUUUGUGUGUGAUUUUUAGUAUUUCCUGUUUCUAAUUGGACCGGAAAUAUUUCAAGAGCAAAUAUUUCUCAUGGUGUGAUGGAACCUACCUCACACCUGGCAACACAAAUGUCCGGCGGUGGCUUGAAUUAGAGAAAAAAAACCCUUUGAUAAAUGCCCUGACUCUCAUGAAAGGCCAUUGUUUUUACAGUUCGGGAGAGGAGAAAGAAUGAAGUGGGAUUUUGUGGUUUGUACUUUGUCCUUAAUAUAAGGAGAGCUAACAAAAGUAUGACUGAAGGAAAAAGAGAGAAGGAAGGAAGAUUAGUCAGUUAAUAAAGGAGAUUUAUGCUAGUGACGGUAGGUAGGCAAAUUGCACUGCUAAAUGGGGUAUGGACUUCUUUUAUGUGGACAAGAGAAUUUAUCAACUUUAUUUAACUGAAACUGCACCAUAAUCAUGUCUCCAGAGCCUGGGCUGAUGGAGACACCCAUCCCAUGAUGAAACUGGCCCAGAGGCUUCCAUCCUGGCAGGAGAUCCCUGGGGCAUAAAUGUGGGCUGGUGAGGAACUGUGUAUGUUUCCAACAAGCUUUUUUGUAUUGCAAGAUGGGUGAAAGUAAAAUCUGUUGCAGUUUUGAUCAA